UGGGGAAUUUUGGACAAUGGGGGAAACCCUGAUCCAGCCAUCCCGCGUGUGCGAUGAAGGCCUUCGGGUUGUAAAGCACUUUUGGCAGGAAAGAAACGUCAUGGGUUAAUACCCUGUGAAACUGACGGUACCUGCAGAAUAAGCACCGGCUAACUACGUGCCAGCAGCCGCGGUAAUACGUAGGGUGCAAGCGUUAAUCGGAAUUACUGGGCGUAAAGUGUGCGCAGGCGGUUCGGUAAGAAAGAUGUGAAAUCCCAGAGCUCAACUUUGGAACUGCAUUUUUAACUGCCGGGCUAGAGUGGGGCAGAGGGAGGUGGAAUUCCGCGUGUAGCAGUGAAAUGCGUAGAUAUGCGGAGGAACACCGAUGGCGAAGGCAGCCUCCUGGGAUAACACUGACGCUCAUGCACGAAAGCGUGGGGAGCAAACAGG
rnacentral:rRNA from 1 species